rnacentral:rRNA from 1 species
CACCGAUGGCGAAGGCAGGUUUCUGGGCCACCACUGACGCUGAGGAGCGAAAGCGUGGGGAGCGAACAGGAUUAGAUACCCUGGUAGUCCACGCCGUAAACGGUGGGCGCUAGAUGUGGGGACCCUUCCAUGGUUUCUGCGUCGCAGCUAACGCAUUAAGCGCCCCGCCUGGGGAGUACGGUCGCAAGACUAAAACUCAAAGGAAUUGACGGGGGCCCGCACAAGCAGCGGAGCAUGCGGCUUAAUUCGAUGCAACGCGAAGAACCUUACCUAGACUUGACAUAUACGGAAAACAUGCAGAGAUGUAUGGUCCUAACGGGCCGUUUACAGGUGGUGCAUGGUUGUCGUCAGCUCGUGUCGUGAGAUGUUGGGUUAAGUCCCGCAACGAGCGCAACCCUCGUUCUAUGUUGCCAGCACGUAAUGGUGGGGACUCAUAGGAGACUGCCGGGGUCAACUCGGAGGAAGGUGGGGAUGACGUCAAAUCAUCAUGCCCCUUAUGUCUAGGGCUGCACGCAUGCUACAAUGGCUGGUACAAAGGGCUGCGAUACCGCAAGGUGGAGCGAAUCCCAAAAAGCCAGUCUCAGUUCGGAUUGGGGUCUGCAACUCGACCCCAUGAAGUUGGAGUUGCUAGUAAUCGCAGAUCAGCAACGCUGCGGUGAAUACGUUCCCGGGCCUUGUACACACCGCCCGUCACGUCACGAAAGUCGGUAACACCCGAAGCCGGUGGCCUAACCGUAAGGAAGGAGCCGUCGAAG